GGUGAGAUGGCUGAGUGGUAAGGCACCACUGGCAUUUCAAGGCUGCUUACUGCAGAAUGAGAGGAAAUGAAGAUAAAAAAAAUUACAAAAAACUAGCCUUGUCAUGUGGUCCGGAAGGGCAUGGGUUCGAAUCCCACUCUCAUCA